rnacentral:ncRNA from 1 species
UGCAGCAAAAGGCAAAGCCGCCGAAAGGCGGUGACGCAAAGCUACCGGUCUACGGGCUGAGGCCUAGGAUGGCGGGGUUGCCUGU